AAAUCGCUAGCCCAAACUUGUCUGGCGGAUUGGAUCAACAAUAAGUAAAAAUAAUACCAGGUAACCACUCGUAUGCUAUUUAGGAAUCAAUUAGUGUAUUCUGAAUCUUAAAUUUUCAGUUUAAAAUUUUAAAAUAAAAAUAUUCUAAAAUUAAAAUUUAUAAUUUACAAUUUCAAAAUAAAAUAAAUAUUAAUUAAUCUCAAAAUAGCAUCCUAGAGAUGUUGUGUGUGCACUUGCCCCCGAUAAUACUAUUAUUGGCUUAUUCUUCAAACCCAAAUUUGAAAAGAUUUAUCAGCCCAUUAAUUUGCGUAAGAAUCUCGUCUUGGGUCAGGUUGUCGCAUUUCUCCCUCAACGUCGAUCUCUCUAGAAUCUCCUUCUUCCGUCGGCGAACUCAUUCCGAUCUCUUUCUCUGGCGAAUUCCACUCGUAAGAAACUCUCCAAUCUCUCUUCUGUUCCAAUAUUCUUUUCUUUUGUAAUUAAACUGAUUCUAUAAUCAAAUUUUCUUCCCGUAUUGUUUUAAAUUUAAGCUGGCAUUACAUGCUGAUUGCUUGUAUGAAAAAUCAGUGUAGUAAUUAAUACAAUAAAAAGGUAGAACCUUUAUCAUUGUUUUAUGGGUCCUGCUCUUGCAUCACUUUAGUGGAACUUUGCGACUAUCAAGUCAUUUUUCCAUUCUUGCUAAUUAUAUUAAAAUUCCAGGUUUCAUUUUUUUCUUCUCACGGGCCAUAAGAUCAAGGUUAGUUUGUUAGAUUACUUGAAAAUCAAUAUCUCUAUUAAAAGUAACUAAUAACUCGCAAUUAUUAGUUUCUUUUUCCUUGGAAGGAGCAAUUGAUAGGAACAUGUUGCUGUCGAGAAUUGUGGUAGAAGGUUAGUAGGCAGUCGUGUGUGUGUCUUUCCCGUACCAGUAGGAUUAGUUUUUAACCUUGUAUGUGAU
rnacentral:lncRNA from 1 species